GAGCCGCUCUGGGGCAGGCGCGGGCACUGGGUUGAUCCUCGAGAACGCGAGGGGCCGAGGUUGGGCAGAGGGUCUCUGGGUUCUCCUCUCUCCCAGAGUCCGGGGUACUGGGUGAGUCGAGGCCCCGACGUGCCGGGCUGCUCAUCUUGCUCGCCCCAGCCUCACGCGGUAGUCUUAGGCGCCCUCCUUAUGCCCCCUGGCAGGGGCACCUCGCUUUCUCCCGGGCCGGCCCUCCUACGGUUAAGGGGCAGAGCCCUUAGUGGGGAGAGUGGAGACCAGGGCAAAGAGCGGAUCCCCAGAGGCGUCUGUUCCGCAGCCCCGGUGCGAGGCAGGAAGGCGCUGCGCGAAGAGCAGGUAAAAACAGGGAAAUGAAAAAAACUCGACAAAAAUCCUUUCAAGAAAAAAAACAGAAGAAGAAGAAGAAGAAAAAAAGUCCAGAGGGAUCUCGGCCUUCAGGUGGGAGAGGGUGGUAUCACUGCUGGGUCGGGAUCCUAAGGAUUGGUCCGGCUCUCAGAGACCCGCCCGGAGGCGCGCUGAGGCCAGUGAAGGCGAGCCUGGGGAGUGAUGUGGGCACGAAGUACCCCCUACCACUUCUCCCUGCGCGCCCCCACCCCCUCUCUCCUGGGUGCCGACGGCCUCACUCCCACUCCGGGACGUACUCCUCUGGGUCCACACCCUCAUCUGUUCUCCUAAUGGGGGUCCUGAGUCCCCACCCUUACCUCCUCCUGCGCUCCCGGGGCUAGCGGACAGCCGCGGCCGGGGGGGGGGUGUAGGGGGGCAAGGGCGAUGAUGGGAGAUGGAACAUCCUGCCGCGGGGAGACCUGGUUAGUUAGAUGGCAUAAAGAAACCGAGUUUAAGGAUCCCCUAACGUCCCCCCGCCCCGAACCAAGAAGGAAGGGACCUCAGUUCAGAGGAGUAGAUCAGCGAGGCGUUGUCCCGCUGCUGGCCACCUCGCUCGGUGUCCUACGCUGCAUAAGCAGGUCAGGAACGUCGAGAAGACUGCACAGCCCCUGGUUAAACUCUUCUCAGCGCGUCUCUGAAGAGUCCUGAGCCAAGCGCAGGUGGCCAGGGGUCGUCGGAGGGACUCAAGAACGCACGCCCGGUUCUGCCCCGGAAUUUCGUUGCAGGAGGGAAAGGACAAGGGCGUGCACGCGGCGAAGUGGGCGCAGAGCCCAGAUGUCCACCCUGACCGUGGUUUGGAGCUGCUGCCCUGGACCUCAGCAUCAAUCCGUUUCCCAAAAUCACUGUAAAUCUGAGUCACCGCUGACAGCAGGAGACCUUUGGUGGCACCCGGGUGUAGGCGCGUUCGCAGAGGAGCCAGCGUCUAGGGACUGACACUGGGAGAGGUGACUGCCGCUCCGGCACGGUUAUCUGAUAAAGCCGCAUGUUCCGGGGCUGCCGCUUGGUUUCCUGUCCCAACAGCCCAACGCGCACCUCUCAAGCCUUUGUGGGAACCCUGCUCUGCGACCCAAAUCCCCGAGAGCCCCGAGAGCCGGGACCCAGCGCAUGCCAGACCAGCCUUGGCCCUAGUUCCAGGCGUCAUAAAAGCUAGUGUCGUGGCAGCUGCGAGCGAGCACCACCCUUCGCACCACGCCCGCUAUAACUUGGCUUCCAGCUUGCGCCGCUGAGAGCGCGCCCCUUCUCCGGGCUCGGGUUGCAGCGGUGCAGGGUAGAAGGCCCAGGCGGCCUUCGCAUUGGUGAUGCCUGCGAUUGGGGCGUGGAGGGAGGUGUCUGGAAUGUUAAAGGCAGAGAUCACCCUCAGGGCAUCAUCCUUCACCGAGUCGCACAGAUCCAGCAACUGAAAAACACAACGCAAAGUGACAGGUUCUUCUUCAGGAAGUUGGAUGAACUCUGCUGGACAAGUCUUCAGGCCUUCCCUCUUCCUCUGUCCAUACCUUAAGUCACCAAACACAAUUCAAAUCCCUUCAGAAGAGCAACUUUUGACUGUCAAAUAAUGGUCAGUGAAAAUUACCACAAUCAAGGAAUUCAAUCUUCAGCUACUAUAGACUUUCAAACUCACUGAAUUCUCAGAGGCUGUGACCUUACUUCUUUCCCAUUUGUUCACCUUUCCUAAAGAGUCACCAACCCCUGAAGACAAAGGGUCAGGAUGGUAGGUCUGUAUCAGGUAAUCUGCCACCUUAGCUCCAAAUGCUUGGCUAGUGGUAAAGAUAAAGAAAAACAUACUUGAAACACUCACAUGGGGGCAUAAAAGCACACGAUGUGUUAUGAUUUGAGCUGUCUUGAUUUACAUAACCACUGGAAAGGGGAACUCUACUCUUGUACUGACCACUUGCAUCUCAAGGCAGCCAGACCUUAUUUGAUUUGGCUUUCUGAUCCCAAGAACAUGUACAUUUUCAUGGCUUUCUCUACAACCAAGUUCCAUUAGCAAGAAAUGAAAUUCUGUGGUUCUAUUAAAUAAUCAGGACUCUA